rnacentral:rRNA from 1 species
UCGAGCGGUAGCACAGAGAGCUUGCUCUCGGGUGACGAGCGGCGGACGGGUGAGUAAUGUCUGGGAAACUGCCUGAUGGAGGGGGAUAACUACUGGAAACGGUAGCUAAUACCGCAUAAUGUCGCAAGACCAAAGUGGGGGACCUUCGGGCCUCAUGCCAUCAGAUGUGCCCAGAUGGGAUUAGCUAGUAGGUGGGGUAACGGCUCACCUAGGCGACGAUCCCUAGCUGGUCUGAGAGGAUGACCAGCCACACUGGAACUGAGACACGGUCCAGACUCCUACGGGAGGCAGCAGUGGGGAAUAUUGCACAAUGGGCGCAAGCCUGAUGCAGCCAUGCCGCGUGUGUGAAGAAGGCCUUCGGGUUGUAAAGCACUUUCAGCGGGGAGGAAGGCGGUGAGGUUAAUAACCUUGGCGAUUGACGUUACCCGCAGAAGAAGCACCGGCUAACUCCGUGCCAGCAGCCGCGGUAAUACGGAGGGUGCAAGCGUUAAUCGGAAUUACUGGGCGUAAAGCGCACGCAGGCGGUCUGUCAAGUCGGAUGUGAAAUCCCCGGGCUCAACCUGGGAACUGCAUUCGAAACUGGCAGGCUAGAGUCUUGUAGAGGGGGGUAGAAUUCCAGGUGUAGCGGUGAAAUGCGUACAGAUCUGGAGGAAUACCGGUGGCGAAGGCGGCCCCCUGGACAAAGACUGACGCUCAUGUGCGAAAGCGUGGGGAGCAAACAGGAUUAGAUACCCUGGUAGUCCACGCCGUAAACGAUGUCGAUUUGGAGGUUGUGCCCUUGAGGCGUGGCUUCCGGAGCUAACGCGUUAAAUCGACCGCCUGGGGAGUACGGCCGCAAGGUUAAAACUCAAAUGAAUUGACAGGGGCCCGCACAAGCGGUGGAGCAUGUGGUUUAAUUCGAUGCAACGCGAAGAACCUUACCUGGUCUUGACAUCCACAGAACUUUCCAGAGAUGGAUUGGUGCCUUCGGGAACUGUGAGACAGGUGCUGCAUGGCUGUCGUCAGCUCGUGUUGUGAAAUGUUGGGUUAAGUCCCGCAACGAGCGCAACCCUUAUCCUUUGUUGCCAGCGGUCCGGCCGGGAACUCAAAGGAAGACUGCCACUGNUAAACUGGAGGAAAGUGGGGGAUGACGUCAAGUCAUCAUGGGCCNUUACAACCAGGGCUACACCCNUGCUACCAUUGCGUUNUACAAAGA